rnacentral:ncRNA from 1 species
GCACUGACAGGAAGUUUUACCGUUGUGUUCCUUUACUGCUUCUUGAAGGAGAGCGACGUCAAAGAAGCAGACAGUGC